CCUUAUUCAUAAACGCACAUUAACGCUAAACAGUGCAUCAUCUCUUGUGUAAAUCCUCGAAAUUUUAAAAUGAGCCCGACCCUAGUUUAACGGGAUUUUAGCGCAAAAAUCCAAGAUGGCCGCCUCACAUCAGCUGGCUUUUGACAGCAACUCAUGAACUGAUAUGAACCUCUGAGACGAGUGUUUGUUGCCUGUUCUUACAUUUUCUCAGAAAAAUGUAUUAUGUGUAAUUAAAUUGACAAGCUAAAAUUAUUAUUAAGUGGCGCAAAACCAAAGUAAUAUGUGUUGUGUGAAAUGCGGGCUACUUAUAUACCUAAACUGAAGGAUGUAACAGACUUUUGAUCGUGUCGAAGAAAAAGUGCAUUAUAUAGGGAACGAGUUCAGAGGCGAGGUGGCAGAAAUAGGUAAAAAUGUUGUCUGGCAGUAAUGAAACUUUUAAUGAAGCGAUGCAACCUAUGCUGGCAUGUUACUGGAAAAGUUGUGUCCAAUUUGGCCAUCAAGUGAAGAAAAGUCAUCACAGUUUGCUGCCUCCCUCUGCUGCUGCUGCUCGGUCCCAAGCUGAAGAUGGAAUUGUCAGAAUCUGAAAAAGACACAUCAGACAUAAAUAAAAUAUUUU
rnacentral:lncRNA from 1 species